CAUUUUCAAGGGUGGUUUUAUAGUUUGUAUUUUAACUAUGGAUUUUAAUCAGAGCGUGGUUUUGAUUAUUGAGUCGCACACACCCUUUCGAAGUACGUGUUUCAAUUAUGAUAUAACGUGGCAACGGCAGCCAAAAGUUCAAGACAAAAAAAAAAAAAAAGCAAACUUAUAUAUUAAAAUUGGGAUUCAGGCAGCCCAGGAUGGACGUAAUAGCGUAAUGAUCAGUUUUUCCAAUAUGAAUUAAGACGUAACAUUUUGUUAAGCAGGAGGGGGGAAAUCUAUAAACCUUUAGAGACAGUUCACUUUCCCAACUUUUUUGAAGAGAUGUCAAAAAGACCAUGUCGAAUGUGAAAAAACAUCAAACUUAAACAACUAUUGUUUGCCUUUUCAAAUGAAGGCAAUGAAAGCAUUACUUGAACAGAAUUUAAUCAAAGGGAGUGAUCAAAACGUGUUUCCCUGGACACAAUGGCGAGGAAAGCAAUGGAGCUUGAAAGAUCUGCAAAGGUUGUAAAUGCGAGGAUUGGUCAUGAAGUUAAUUUUUCAUCACUGCAAAUGGUCCCAUGAGGUACUUGCUAAAUGAGGAAUAUCUGUUUAUGCAGAUUCUUUGUAUACUCAUUGUUAUAUUUGUUAUUAAAAGUUAAUAUUUA